rnacentral:rRNA from 1 species
GACGAACGCUGGCGGCGUGCUUAACACAUGCAAGUCGAACGGAAAACACCGGCUUUCCUCUUUCUGAACAGUCGAGCACGGGUGUAUAACGCGUGUGAUAUCUCUCUCUCACCCUGGUAUAAUUGCGGGACUCGGCGUCAUAUACGGGAGAUGUGUCGUUACCUCAUGGUCGGCGUAUGGUUUUUCGGUUCGGGAUGAGCCCGCGGCCUAUCAGCUUGUUGGUGGGGUAAUGGCCUACCAAGGCGUCGACGGGUAGCCGGCCUGAGAGGGUGGACGGCCACAUUGGGACUGAGAUACGGCCCAGACUCCUACGGGAGGCAGCAGUGGGGAAUAUUGCACAAUGGGCGCAAGCCUGAUGCAGCGACGCCGCGUGGGGGAUGACGGCCUUCGGGUUGUAAACCUCUUUCGACAGGGAAGAAGCGAUAGUGACGGUACCUGUAGAAGAAGCGCCGGCUAACUACGUG